UUGUAACCCCAAAAGCAAAAUGACAGGCCCCAAAUUUUCUCCUUUUUCUUCCUCAUCUAGGUGCAAAGUGAAUCCAUCUUCCUCAGAAAUCUGUAAAAGCCUUCUCCAACUGGAGGUCCCGAUAAGGAACACAGAACUGACGAGCUACCACCAGCCGGAAGAGGGGCCAAAAUGAGGGAGACGCCAGCCCAUAAUAUGUCCUGCCAACCUCCCAGAAAUCCUCACGCUGGAAACCAUCUUGACUGAGAGAUGUAUGCGCUGCCAGGAAUUGGACCAAAUAUGGGCACAAGCAAGAUGAUUAGCCAGAGACAACCUGGAAAGCUAACUCCAUUACCAUAAAACCUGAGACUGCAAGCCACGUGGCAGAGCAGUUCUCCUGAGUUCCUUAUACCCGGCUGUUCUCCGCCCAGGCACCCCUUCCUAGUAAAAUCUUUUGCUUUGUCAGUACAGGUGUCUCCUUGGACAAUUCAAUUCCAAGUGUUAGACAAGAGUCCACUCUUGGGCCCUGGAAGGGUUCCCCCUUACAGUAACAUAACCAUAAAUGAGCCUCUUUUUUUUUCCCUAA